GACGAACGCUGGCGGCGUGCUUAACACAUGCAAGUCGAACGGAAAGGCCCUGCUUUUGUGGGGUGCUCGAGUGGCGAACGGGUGAGUAACACGUGAGUAACCUGCCCUUGACUUUGGGAUAACUUCAGGAAACUGGGGCUAAUACCGGAUAGGAGCUCCUGCUGCAUGGUGGGGGUUGGAAAGUUUCGGCGGUUGGGGAUGGACUCGCGGCUUAUCAGCUUGUUGGUGGGGUAGUGGCUUACCAAGGCUUUGACGGGUAGCCGGCCUGAGAGGGUGACCGGCCUCAUUGGGACUGAGAUACGGCCCAGACUCCUACGGGAGGCAGCAGUGGGGAAUAUUGCACAAUGGGCGGAAGCCUGAUGCAGCAGCGCCGCGUGCGGGAUGACGGCCUUCGGGUUGUAAACCGCUUUCGCCUGUGACGAAGCGUGAGUGACGGUAAUGGGUAAAGAAGCACCGGCUAACUACGUG
rnacentral:rRNA from 1 species